UGGUGGAGUGAUUAGUCUGCUUAAUUGCGAUAACGAACGAGACCUUAAUCUGCUCAUAAAUAGUUACGUGAACCUUUGCGCUAAUCGUGGAUAACUUCUUAGAGGGACUUUUGCGUGUUUUAGUCCAAAGGAAGUUUGAGGCAAUAACA
rnacentral:rRNA from 1 species